CCGCCGCAGGUCCCCGCCGCUGCUGGCGCGCCAAAAGAGUUCCUGGGGGACGCCAGAAGGGUACCGGGUGGGCUGCGCGGAUUGAUGCCGCGGAGGGUUCUGGGAAACAACCUAUAGUCUGGAGGCAGUUUUUAGGUGGCACCGGUUGGGUUCAGUUUUGAUGACGAAUCUGUCAUCAAAGCGCAAGGGGGUUAAGGUUUGUGACAGUGGUACAGGGGACACCUGCUGCUGCAGCGGUGCACUCCGGUGAGCAGAGAUUAGUAGCCCAAACUCUCCAGCCUCGAACCCUGUGCCUCAGGGUGUUACCGGACGGACGGCUUUGAAUAAAGCAGGUGGCCUUUCCUAGUGGGCGGGGCCUCUCCCAGGCCGCUGUAGGCCUGAGCAGAGAAAAUGCCCCGCAUGCAGCGUCUCCCUGGUCUCCAGCUCGGAGUCACCUGCAAAUCUCAGACUCUCCAGACCCCAAGCCGUGGAGAUGGUUCCUUCGGUAAAUCUUUUUCCUUAUACGUGUGUGUGUGUGUGUGUGUGUGUGUGUGUGUGUGUGUGUGUGUGUGUGUAUCUGACCGACGCGGACCCAUGAGAGAGACCCCAGCACUACAGCAAACCCACGGGAGACAUGAAAACUGGCUCGGCCCAUAGGGCUAAGAGCUGAACAGGCCCCAGUCAGGGCAUGCGCCCCUCCCUACGUCAGACGCUUUCUGCUUGUGCGCAGGCGUGUGUCUGUGCGUGGUGCUCAGUGUAGAGCUCCGGGCACCCACCACUAAACUACACCCCUGCAGUCCUCCUUUUUAUUUUUUAUCUUGGGACAGGAUCUCCCUAAGUUGCUCAGAUGGGCUGGGACUUCCGAUCCUCCUGCCUCUGCCUCCCUCGGUGCUGGGAUUACAAGCGUGUGCCAUGCUGCCUGGCAAAAGUUUCUUGACGAAUGAGGCUAUCGGUACUCAGCUCUCUCAAUAUAAGGCUCCUCUGAUGACCGAGUGCCUAAAACUCGAGAACACUCUUUCCAACUCCAAUUAACUUACAAAUGUAUAUGAGCUUCACUUUUAAAGAUUAUAAUGAUUUACUGUUCUGACCCCAGACCGACAGAUAAAAACUUCACCUACGUGUUGGAAAUCUCUUAUCUUCCAGGAAAAAGUCACUCAACUGCCGAGUGGAGAACAGGCCUGAAAUUAACAUCUGCAGAAGACCAGGAGCCUUGAGGGAGGGGAGAGGCCAUGCUCACCGCCAGAUGCUGGCCAUUUCCGUGGGUGGCCCUGCCCAGACCUGGCGCCCAGUGGAGCCCCUUACCCCAACUGCAGGCUGCCCACCCUCCCCUUCUGAGCACCCUGCCUUCGGGCUCACCGCAGAUUUCCUGGUAAAAGCACCACUACCCAGAUUCUAGCUCCAGAAUCCAGUGUCACUGAUGAUGGGCAGAAAGAAUCGACCCUCUUCUCCCAUGAAAACAGUUCAAAUUUUAAAAUCUUUGCUCUGAUUUUCCCUCCUAGGUUUCUAUUAGGUUCUACUUCAUUUUCUUCAGUGCUUUGGCAUUAAGGCCUUUUAUUUUAGUUCAUGCAUUCUUUUUUACAUUUUCAAGUUUUCCAUUUGGUGUCUUUUAGUUUGGAAAACUGUCAUAAAGUAUUCACUUACAAAUAGUCUUUCUCUUAUUGGCAACAUUAUAUACACACAAUUCUUUAAAAAAAUUUUUUUUGCUCCCAAGAUAACAAAUGUGCAUUGAAAAAUUAGGGUACCAUAGAAAUGCCUAAAAAUUGAAAGUCAUAAUUGCAUGCACAUGGAUAACACUACCAAUACUCUGCUAUAUGCACACUUCAUCUCUUUCCACAGUGUAUGCACACACAGUUGUACUGCACAUACUUGUUUCUGAGAUAGGGUCUCCCUAGGUUCUCCAGGCUGGGCUCGAACUUGACUCUCCUGCUUCAGUUUCUUGAGAGGCGAGGAUUACCGGUGCCCCUCACCAAGCCUGGCUUAUAGCUCAUAUUUUCUAUGUCAUCAAAUGAUUUAUGGUUCCAUAAAUAAUUUUCCAUUGUAUGGACAUACUGCAAUUUAUGAGAUGAAUUUCCCUCUUCGAAUUCUUGGGCCUCGAGUUGGUUUUCAAAGUUUCGGUGUUACAUAUAAAGAAUAUGAAAGCCAUCCGAAGGCAGCUCUGGACACAAACCGCAGGUAGAGGCACCACAGGAGCGGCCCUGUUGGGAGUGAGGCGAGUGCUGCUCGCUGGCUCUGGUCCUGGUCAGGAAGCUGUCCCUGCAGGUGAAACUCCCCUCACAGCCUGGAUGGGGUGACCCUGGCCGUGUUCGACACCGCGGUCCCUUCUCCCACACCACCCUUCACCCCCAACCAAGCAGUCCCAGGAGCGAGGCGGGAGCAGGGCUAAGCCGUAGCCCCAGGUCUGUGGCCACCCUCUGUGUGACCAUCAGACGCCCCACAGGGUGGCUGACCCGUCACACGGUGAUGUCCUGGGCCCAGGGAGGUGAGCAAUGCUGAGCACCCUCCCGACAGUGUCCGUGUCGCUAACCGGGGCCUCCCAUGUCCACACCGCAGACCUCAGCACCUAGGAGCUGGAUCCGCCUCUGCCCGCUGCACUGCAGCUCUCUCCUAGGCCCUGCCUAGACUACAGGUUAGUGAGUCAGCAGCAAGAGCUGAACUCCAGAACCUGUCAACAUGGUGAGUAGCUCUAAAGAUGCCGUGAUACUUCUUACCCGUGCUGUAACAAUUCUCCCCGGAUGACUGCCAAGGCAGGAA